GAUGAACGCUAGCUACAGGCUUAACACAUGCAAGUCGAGGGGCAGCAUGAUUGAAGCUUGCUUCAAUCGAUGGCGACCGGCGCACGGGUGAGUAACACGUAUCCAACCUGCCGAUAACUCGGGGAUAGCCUUUCGAAAGAAAGAUUAAUACCCGAUAGUAUAGUAUUUCCGCAUGGUUUCACUAUUAAAGAACUUCGGUUAUCGAUGGGGAUGCGUUCCAUUAGAUAGUUGGCGGGGUAACGGCCCACCAAGUCAACGAUGGAUAGGGGUUCUGAGAGGAAGGUCCCCCACAUUGGAACUGAGACACGGUCCAAACUCCUACGGGAGGCAGCAGUGAGGAAUAUUGGUCAAUGGACGAGAGUCUGACCCAGCCAAGUAGCGUGAAGGAUGACUGCCCUAUGGGUUGUAAACUUCUUUUAUACGGGAAUAAAGUGGAGUAGGCAUACUCCUUUGUAUGUACCGUAUGAAUAAGGAUCGGCUAACUCCGUG
rnacentral:rRNA from 1 species